CAGGAAACAGAGAUCAGCCCAGAGUAAGAUAGACUGCGCUUUUGGAAGACCUCUCGACUGCCCACACUUCUCCCUCCUUACUUGUGUCCCCAUCACACCAUUUUACCUCAGCACCCCCAGCCAUUACACCCAAAUGCACUGCCUUUUCGACAUGAACCACCAGACCACAUCAGAGGGAACAAGCAUCAACACUGAACUAAGAACUUUAACCUCCAUGAGUAUGGAGUUCAGCAUGAAGGAGACAGAGUCACCAGAAAAUUCCCAAGAACCCUCCCAGUAUUCCCCACAAUCCCCCUCUUGUUCCACGUACUGCCAAAAGAUCAACCGCUGGACUGAUGAAAAUGAAAAUAUUUUUUAAAAAGACAAAAUGAAAAUAAAGUACAGCAUUUGUGGAUUAUUCCUCUCCACUUUGUCUGGAGUUUUUAAGAAAAUUUUCAAGGGCAUUUGGUCUUUUAAUCUUGAGAUUACUGGUACUUUAUUUUUCUACAGUUUUUCUUACCAUCAGAAUUGGUUAUCAGUACCUUGGAGGUCAAGUGUUUUUUUAACAAUGUGUUCCAAAAAGCAUUAACAAAAGGGAUUGUGGGUGAUUUUUCUUGGGAUUGUACACACUGGGAGUUGAGGAUCCCUAUCAAAUUUUACCACGAGUUUGGUCUCAUUUCUUGUACAGUAAAUAUUUUAUUUUCCCUCUCAAUGUGAAAAAAUAUUUUUUCAAUUCAUGUAUAAAAAAAGAUUGAUUUUACCAAAAGGGGGUACAAUCACUCCUUUCACCUUAUUUAAAGUUCUGACUUAAUCAUUUGUUGAGUGAUUUUUACAUCUUUUGAUUGUUUUAGUUGUUCUUGUUCUUAUUGUUGUUAUAGUGCUUGUGUCACUAGAACAGGGCUUUAUUAGGACCAAGGAGACAGCAGUCUAAUGAAAUGAUCUUUUCUUUAUUUAUUCCCACCUCUGUCUUCUUUUUGUGUGUUUUGCAUUUUAGAUAUACUCAGCACGGUUGUAUGUAUGAUUUUGUAUUGAGAUCAUUCCAGUCAGCAGAUCCAGUUGCAGUUAUUUCUACUAUUUCAUAACAGCAUCUACAGUAUUUCUGCAUAUGUUUCACUUUCUGCUUUUCUACUAAAUGGGCAGUGUGCACUCACCCAGAGUGAGGGAAUUCAAAUGGCAGUGAAUUCAAACAUGAGAAAGAUUAACUAGUUAAAGUUAAGACUCUGUUUGGUUGGUACUUAAGUAGUUGAAAAGAUAAGCACAGGAUGAUAGUUAACACACACUAAAAUACAUAAAUACUGAAUUCUGAAACAUAUACCUGUCCAUGUAUGUUACCAUCAAAGGAUUAUCAGAUGAACAGCACAUGUUGUUUAUUUCUUUCUGUUUACAUAGUUGAUUGCUUUUGAUUGGAUGGCACUGAUGUUUCUUAGCACACUGUGUAGGAAAUUCUAAAAUCUAUAAUCCUGAAUUUACAGUGGUGCUGCCUGAGUUAGUACAUCACUUAAAACCAUGAGUUAGAACAACCUGAUCAAAGCAGCAAAGGAAUUAUCAACACCAUGAAAACAUGACCAGUAGCUGUAAACUUAAAUUAUUCUUUAACAGUCUGUCUUGAUCCCAUCCAUCCAUUUUCAAUCAAAUUGUACCAUGAACAGGAAUUAGCUGAGGACUAAAAGUUUUCACUUCACACCAGUCUCUUCCACACUGAGUGUAGAUGUCAUCAGUUAAACCUGCUGUUUAUUUAUUCACCCAAGUACAUUGCUUUAUGAUAGGAAGUGUAACACAAGUCAUGAUGUCAGUACAAACAGCAGCAUAGCUAGUGAUAAUUGGAAAAAAUAUAUAUUUUGGGUGAAAAAAAUAAAAUAAAUGACUGAUAAAAUAACUAAUGAAAUAUAAUUGUCAGUGCUAAAACAGAAACACCCUCCUUUUUUGUGGUGCCAGUAAGAUCCCUUGCAGCUACCACAUGUUCUUCAGAAAUUAACACUAUUAUAUAAACUGGAGUGGGUUAGUCAUAGUUAGCCAAGCAUAGUAUUUGAAACCAGUUAAGAAAGCGAAUGACAUAUAUAAGACAUUACAAUCUGCAUAAAAAUGUACAUCACAAUGCAGAGGGGCAGAUGUGAUAGCAUUUUGGUCCACAGUGAAUAGAAGAAGACCCAGAAUAGACCCUUGUGGGUCCCCUGUACUAACUUUAAGAGCACCUGUACAUCUUGAGUUUCUCUUGAGAAGUUGUUAAAAACCGUUCAAUGGACUAAACAUCUGAACCUAAAAAGGAUAAUUUUCUUCAGUUGAAUAUGAUUAGUCAGCAGUGUCAAAUGUUUUCAAUAGACUUUAUAAUCGCUCUUUUAUAAUUGAUUUGAUAAUCUCCAACCUAUUACCUUAAUCUGAAAACUGGCGUAAUGCAUGCAUGCAAACGCACUGUAAUACUACAGUGUUAAUAUUGCAUAAAACCAGAAGGCCAGAGUAAACCUCCUGCUUAGUACACACUGCCCAUUCAAAUCAGACACAUAAUUAGUAUGGCACAUGUAAUUUAUAUUUUGUCAAUUUUUAAACACGAUGCUUUUAUAGAACACAAUAUUCUGUACAGUCUUCUCAACAUGUUGUAGUUCUUUUACUGUGCUGUCAUCUUCAUCAUUGCACUCCCUUUUCUCACUGGAAACAAGCAAGCCAACAUUUACAAGUUUUUUCUUAAAUGUGAACCCUCACUUUACCAUCACAGGAAGACAUGUAAUAAAAGAGCACCACGCACAAAAUAAAAACAGAUGUAGACAUUGUAUUUUUUUAUUUUGUUCUGUGUCUAUGCGGUGUUCUCAGUCCUGGUUAUGAUUUCACAGUUUCCAUUUCCACAGGAUAAAACUGUAUAAAAUGGUUGAUUGUGUAUAUAUGUGUAGCUUUCUUAAAAAGGGGAGGGCUCAUCCAAAAAUCAGAAAUCAGGGAAAAGCUGGCAUUACUAAAAUAUGCUGGGGCCCAGAGGAGUCAGCCCUUUUAAGCCACCAGAGUCACCAAGCUUAUUCAACUAUUGUUGAGAGUUUAGAAAUAAUUAGAUAGAAACAACGACAAAAAUGCAGACACAGUAGCCUUUUCAUCAUAUUUAAUAAUGUAAUCCUGGCCCACAAUUUUAUGACUUUGUGCCAGCAACGGACAUGGCAUUAUGUUUUGGCAUUGCCUAUCUGCUUUUUUCAUUCUGAUUAGAAUUUGGUGGUCAAAAGUCAAGGUCACAGCGACCUGACAAAAUGUGUUUUUUUGGCCUCGUGAAUGCAGUAUCUCAGGAACGUCUCCAGGGAAUCCCUCCCUUUGGCACAAACAUUCACUUGGACUCAAAAUUGCUGAUUAGACUUUGGUGGUCAAAGGUCAAAGGUCACAGUGACUGCACAAAACAUGUUUUUGACAAUAACGCAAUAAUUCAUACACUAAUUAACUGGAUUCAUUGGUGAGGACAUACAGCUGCAAGGCAGCCAUUCUAGUCAAUUUUUAGUUUGUUUGAUUUGGAAAUUAUGUGUUCAUACUUAACCUUACAUUUUUUGAUACAGAGUGCACACAUUUUAACAUCUGUUAUAUUAUUCAUUUGUGUGUGUCAGUGUGAUAGGAUGGCAGAGUGUAGUGGAGAGAGAUGGAGGUGUCAAGCUACAAAAUCUGAUUCAAAUAACAGCAUGAUUUGUUGACAUGCAUGGCUUAAAGUUCUCUGUGCUGGAAUGUUGGGGCAGGGCCAGGGUUUCUUUAGAUUAGAAAAUAGAUAAUUGUACUGUAUGUCUGUGGAAAAUAUUCUUGCAUAUAUAUAUAUAGCAAGAAUAUGGCUGUCUAUUUAUGUAUACAGUCAUGAGGAACCCUAUAUUUUUUACUAAUAAAGUAAAACUACUUCAUUAAUAAAAACCUUUGUGUACAUUGUG